rnacentral:lncRNA from 1 species
GCAGGAUUAACUACGAUGAAGUAAGACAAACAGUAGGAGUUGCGCCGGAGUCAAGACUAUGAUCACGUUGGGAGUUCGAGAGUUCGACGGAAGUCCGGACGGUCGUCGGAGGUUCUGCGGGAACAAAUCCGAGAAGUCUAGGAGCUUACCAAAAGAAGCUCGUCGGAACUCGCCAAGUGGAUCGUCGCAAGUCCAGGAGUUUGUCGGAAGUCCGCCG